GCGAGGCUGCAUCAUGGUCAUGGACAAUCUCCCUUCUUACCCCCACCAAAAUUUCGUUUAUCUUUGAGCAGGCCAGAAAUAUGGUUUUUCUUUCUAUGUAAGACACCAGUUUUAAUGAUGAGAUCCGAGUUAUUUGGUCAAAUGGAAUUCUUUUUGGGCUGAAGGAUAUCCUGCUUAAAUUGCCUAUCCAAAUUGGCUUUCACAUGUACUGCAACAGCAUCAUAGGAAUUAGUCAACCAAGGUUGAUGGAGUCCAACACAUCCUUGAAAUUACUCAAACCAAGGUACGGUUAAUUUUCAUUGUUAUCUUGUUCAAAUGUUCAGUGCUUAUUUUAGUUUAUUGUAUUUUCAUUGGGAUUGUAUCAUGUUUCCAAAAUUUCCUGAAUCAAAUGCUUGUGAAUUUAAUCUGUACUUUCCUCCUGGCAUUUUCCAUGGAAAGAAGUUUUCCUUUCACCCGUCCAGUGGCAUGCUUUAGCUCUUUGUUUGUUGGCAUCUACCAGGGCACUGGCAUCCAUGGUGCAUACUUCUUUGUAGCAUGUAGUUUAGCUGAACAAUAAAUUGGUGAUAAGCAAGUAAAAGAUGUUCAAUUUGAAAAUUAACUUGAGAUCAUAUUUCCAUGCAUGUUCUCAGAAAGCACUUUAAAUUAACAUUCUUUAUCAGAUAUAUUCUACAUAUUGUUUAUAUAGGCUGGUGGUUAGUUGGCAAUUCUCGGGAAACUAUCAGGUGGCUACAGAUCACCUCAGGUUGACGCAGGUUAGUCACGUACACUUGCUGCUUGAAGUUUUAGCAGUCCGCAAUCUGGUGCUGAGAAAGUGGACAUCUAUAUCCUAACUGAAAGGCUUGGUUGGUCAUUGGUAAGGAAGGUGGGACCAUUAAGGCUCUAAAAGCUAAGCCCGGGGCUGGCAUACAGGUUAGUGCUACAACUAUAUGCCCGCAUGCUUCUUGUUCACAUCAAAAUGAAAUUUGUUGAUUACGCAACAUAUACCUUAAGGUGAUCUUUCCACAGAAAUAAAAGCUGGAACCAAAUAGAGGUUGCACGAACAAUGAUCGUGGAACUCACUAUAUUGGCUAGGUUAAGUUUUGGGGGAUUUUUUUGGUGAUAUUUCAUUGUUUGCUGCUCGUAAAGUUGCGCCUGUCUUGUUUUAGGAUUGUGCUUGCUGCCUGGAACCAUGUUUGCAGUUUCUUUGAUUCAAAUCUUUUACUUCAGGUGAAGCCAUGUGGUAUACAUCUGUGUGUCUCGCUUAUGGGAUUAGUUGGUUUUAUUUUCUAUAAUAUAAGGGGAUCCGAAAUAUAGUCAGCUCAGACUUCAAGUAAAAGAGUUAGCCAAGCUCCAAUUUCAGCUAUAUUUACCAAAGCAACAUAAAUCUGCCUUGUUGGUAUUCUUCGUUCUUUCAAAUCCAUGUGUUAUUUUUUUGCCAGAAGAAACAUUAGACAACUUAGAACUACACAAGAGGGAAAUAAACUUUUUUCCAUGCUUUACAAACAACACACAUGGCUCGUCUCUUUUGGCGAGCGAGUCAGGUCGUUUCUUUUGAUGUUAUGUCAUCUUAGCCGUUGCAGCUCAUUGUGGCACGUUUCUUUUACUUUAUGAAGCAGAUAUAGAGUUAAGACCUUUGAUUUUGUAGAUUCAGUUAACUCGACAAUACAUGCCUUCGAUACAUCAAUGAGGACUUGUCAUGCCACAAAUUCUUUGAAUUGUUCCUAAUAUUUAUGUGAGCGUAAUCUUUGGCAGGGGCUGGUAAGGUUAGAAUUAGGAACUUCUUUUGAGCUGCUUUGCCCUUCAAUAAUAUGCAUCUAUAUCUUCAUCUGUAAAGUCGUAUACAAUUUAGCAAGAGUCACAAUCUGUACUUAGAUGACCAAAUUUUCUACUUUUUCAGGUUUUUAAUUCCUAAAUAGAUUGAGAAACAGAAUCUCCGUUGCUUCUCACUUUGGUUUUAAUUUCAUAACUUUUAUUUGCGUCACUUGUGUGAUAACCGUGAUAACCUAGAAAGCUGUAUUUUCCCUUCAAAUAAUGUUAGAUGAUAUGUAGAUAGCUCCAGAGUAGUCUAAAUUGUUUCUACCCCUCAUUUAAUCAUUGUUUUCAAUCUUUGUGCCUGGAUAUCUCAAAAUGCAUCUCCUGCUACUGGUAGAGACAAAAUGGUUGCAGCAUUUACCUUGGUCUGAAUCGUAUCUCCAGACUUUUAAUGAGCAUAUUUUUCUGAAAGCCACAUCAAAAGUAUCUUCAUAUUACUCUCUUUUGUAACUUCAGGAAGGAAAUGAAAACCAGUUUGGUGGUUACUGGAUUGACUUAUCUAGAUUACAUAUGUAAAAUUAGGACUACAGAACAGAUAACAACUCUCACAGGGAGCUGUGCUUGGUUUGACAGUGGAUUUGUUUUUGUUUGGAUGGCCUGAACAGUGGAUAAAGUGGUGGUUUUUGUGGAAACAACUGAUGUGUUCUUGAAUAACAUUAUUAGCUCUACUGGGGUGCACAAAAUACCCAAUACAUGCCAUUUGGUAGGCUGUUGACUUGCUAUGGAGCUAAGAGAUUGGCUCCCUAUAAUUCCCCUAGGUUUUGAAGUUGCUUUUCACCGCAUCAUUUAUUUCCAUCUUAAGAAAGCAUAUUGAAAUAUUAUGAUACAAUUUUUUUUUCCAAAUACAUGUUUGUGCACUGGAAUUUGUCUCGUUCAUUUUUAUGGGCAUAUUGUUGAUAAAAUUCAUUAGAUUAGGCAAAGCGCCAUUAUUCCAGGGAAUCUGCUUGAUCCCAGUCUUGUCCUUCUGCAGACUUGUGAUAACAAUCAAUGAUUUCUUCUUUGCUUUUCCACAACAUGUGAUGUGGAUCUGGCAAGUGCUCUUAUGCUUCCUAUAGUUUUUUGGUGUACCUCUAUACGGUUUUAUUAUUAUUCAGGGUCUAAUGUGUUUCUCUGAAAUUCUCUGGAUUGACUGUAGUAUGGCUAUAUAGGCCCAAGGCAAUAUCACCACCCUAAUUUCUGCUCCAACUUAUGCUGAAGGCACCCAAACAUGAGCAACUAAAAUGGAUUUAGUGGUCUUAGUUUAUCUUUGCUGGGGCAGAUUGUUUUCUUCUAUCGUUUAAAUUCUAUGGUAUUAUGUGUUGGCUUGUACUUAAUAGUCUCCAGUUUGGGUCUUUCAAUGAAGAGUAGCGUAUCCACUUCAGUUUUGCUUCCUAUUUAGCUCUGCAUUUACCAUCAUAAAUAUGUGUUACAGUAGCCUCGUGCUUUUUUACAACAUACUUAUAUGUGAAAGUUUGGCUUCGAAGCUCAGGCAGUGUUCUUUUUUCUGCAGAGAAAAGUGCAUCACAUGUCCUGAUUUAUUUAAAGAACUAUUUGGUUACUUUGUCACAAGGAAUUAUUUGUUUAUUUUGAUUAUGUUCGUUUCAUGAAGAGCAAAAAGCUGCAGACCAGAAAGAAAGGAGUUAUGUCGUUUUGGAUCCAUAUGAGUGUUCCUCUGCAUUGUCACUUCUUUUGCUUCAUUAUGAAUUGAGCUGGUGACCGGCCGCACUGGCCAUACGUAAUCUACAGUUCAGAACACCUUCUUUAUUGUGUGCCAAGCUAGGGCAUAUUAGUCCCAAGCAAUUACAUCCUAUAGUAUCGUGCUAUUUACAAGGAUUAGGAAAGAGCUAUGAGUCAUUGUAUUCAAUUUGCCUGAAACAAGCCUCUUUUUUUUGUAAAACUAAAAUAUAGAUGCCUUUAAAUGGCUAUGUUUAUAGCCAACUACCUGGUUCUGUCUGGCA